UCCAUUGAUUUUUCCUGUCCCCUUUCUGACACUAGGUCAAGCCCAGGACAAUUGCAGUGGGCAGUGGCAUCCACGGAGAGAACUACAGAGGGGUGAGGAUGCUGCAGUACUACAGACUCCAUGUGCAGGUGGCCUAGGCAGAGCAGGAUGCCUGAUCCAGCCCAUUGCCUGACUUCCCAUUGGAUCCAGAGCUGCCCUGUUUCCCAGGGCCAACAAGCAAGCUGUCAGAGCAGAAGCCUGUCCUUGCAAGGCAUCCUCACAAGGAUCGCAACUGUGACAUGUUGGAGAGAGGCUUGUCUGCUAUCAUUGACAUCGAGAGCGAUGCUGUCUGCACUUGUGUGCUUCUGCUAGGGUCCCCCAUGUCGGCAAAGUGGAGAGCGAGGUUGGCAGGCUGCUAGUGAUCCAAACAGAAAGAUAAAAGUCAGUGCUGGUGGAGCAACCAGAUGAAGCAGGAAUCGUGCACGAUGGUGGCAGAGGCAGAUGUAGCUUCAGCAGAACAGAAAUCUUCAGUCCUCCUGGAUUUCCUUGGCAUGGGAUCCAGGUUUCCUUCCCGUGGAGUAUUCUCUGAUUGCUGAUGCGCCAUGUAAUCCCCACGUUAACAGAAGAUGUGCACAAGCUGCUUGCUUCAAUAGCGAGUCGCACCACGACAGGUGAGUGAGUGAUGGCGGAGGCAGAUGCUAGCGAUUACCAGAAGCUGCUAGUGAGAGACCUGCCCCGAGUGACAAUGACUGUAUGAGGGUUAUUUUGUAUGUGGAACCGAGACAGGUGUGUGAUUAGGCAGCUGCAAUUAUGACCGAGCAGGCCUAAUUCAGGUGAACUCUGCUAUCCUGUGUGUGGAGGGCACUAGAAAAGGCAACUUCAACAGCCCGUGUCAUGUCCCCAGCCUGGGAUGUGUGCAAGUCAAGUCCUGAGGUUUGCAACCUGGACUGUUCGCACCCUGGUGCACAGCACGAACAGCGCCCAACUGGAUUGAAGGACAGCACUUGUGCCCAGACCUGCAUGGAUUUCUGUUCCUGAACAAGUGUGCAAAAUAUGAUCUAAUCAUCACAAACCCACUGAAUGAAACAUUGAACUUAUGACGGGCACUUGCAGAUACACUCCUGUUCCUUGGCUUUCUCUUCUGUCUCAUACCCCUCCUCCUGAUCUUCAACCAGAAGAGGCUAAAUAAAGAGUUUACAAAAAAGCUGCCUAUUUUCAAUUCACUACCAAUUUUUGAGGAACUUGAUGACCCCCAUAGGCCAAGGCUUAUGUCAAAGAAGGCCAUUUUGGAUUGUGGGAAAAGAACUGAAUCAUGAAAGCUUUCAUAUCAAGGAAAAUGGCUGAAGUGGGGCAAGAAAGUUGACAUCAUUAAUACAUUUCUUAUCAUGGACCCAACAGCUAAACCUCCUGACUUGACUUUACUACGGCAGAACUAGACUAUGUUGAACAAGGGGAACAAGUAGCUACUUGGUAAAUGGGGUUUUCUUAAGGCCCCCAAGUGUGAGUGUGGUGAGAUGCAAACUGUAGCAAAUCUCAUGGAGGAAUGUCCAAUCUAACUUUUUAAUGAUUGUAUUGAAUACCUGCACCAGGCUGCUGACGAUGCCUUGCCAUGGAUAUCGUACUGAAGAGUGUCACUCUAGUCUUAUCCCUUAGUGCCAUUGCUUAUAGGUGGCUUAGAGCUCAUUCUGCUAUUCAGUUGCUGUAUCCGUCUGAAUAAAUCACAAAGCAGCAUGUGGAAGCCAUUGUGCAAGCACCCCUACUCCAAAGCCUGGCACCUAAUGGACUAUAUCCUAGGGCAUUGCAAAGUCCACCUCAGCACCGCUACGACCAGAGCCGUGCAGGACUCCGACUGCCACAACAGCCACAGCAGAAGCGCUCACGUCGCAGCCCGCUCACAUUUCCUCAAUCUGCAGAUUUGCUGAAUCCGUCAUCAACUAUGUCAGGUGGGACUCUAGAAGAAGACGAGGAGAGACAAGCCCCAAAGGCUGCUGGGUAAAUCCUCUCCUGAUAUGUUCCAUCAUGUCCAUCCGUACAACCACAUAAAUGAUGUCAACCAAGGAAGAGGAUCCAUCUCAAGCGCUUGAUAAACCCUACAAAAGGACAUCGCCUCUAGUGCUGUCUCCAAGAGAAUCGUGCCGCCUGCCCUGAUGCUUGUGACACCACUGAUCCCUGGAGAAAGAGCGAGAGCUUCAAGAAAGGCAUCCGUGAGGCAUGCCAAAAAUCUCGAGGCUUCUCCACAAAGAAACCUCAGCACUGGCUCAAUGAGAACGAUUGGGAAAUUGCAUAGGUGUGUAAUGUGUAAGGUGUAAUAGAAGGACAGUAGUUUUUAUUAGUGCUGGAAAUCCUCAUGAAAUUUGCUCCAGACUCAAAUAAGGGCUUCGCUGCAGAGACGCUGCUUUGGUUUGGUUCAGCACAGCCUUCUGCCCCUUCCCCUAGUCAUUGCUUUCCAUUUUCCCUGAGGGCUUUUUCCCCCUCCACUUGCCAGAGGAGUCUGACCCUUCCUGAGGCUGGAACAGGCUCAGGUUCAGAUGGCAGACUCCAUUACUCUUUCCAUGCCGGGACUGUUCCUGUGGGGUCUUUCCCCUUUGAGGUCCAGCUCCCUGGCCUGACACAUGCAGAGAUCCCAGGAAGCGUGAGCACAUGGGGUCCCUCGGCACUAUGGCAACUUGUGGCAUUCAAGUCUUCCCUCUACCCACCUCUUGUCACCAGCCGCGCUCAGCGCCCCCAGCCCCAGCUGCUCCAGCAGGCUGCAGGAGGGCUGUGGGUUGCUCCUGGCAGGCGCCUGCCCUGCAGCUGGCAGAGGAAGCCGAGGGGAGAGGUGUCUGCACUGCCUGCCCUGGCAUCCAGGUUGGGCCCUUCGAGCUGGAACCCUGGACUUAAAUCUGCCCCAGGAGUAAGACAUCCCCUGGCGCUGGGGUUUUCUGCAUGCCCCUCUUUGGCCCUGGGGGCUUUGUUCUCCCUCGGUGCAGUGAGCACCCCAGGGAGCCAAGCACCACUUGGCGCUGGCACAGAGAAGCCAAAGGCCAGUCUUCCAAGUCAUUUCUGUUCUUGGGGUGCCCACUUUCAGACACACUGGCAAUCCAGAUAAGUCCACGUGAAAUCACUGGGAGCUGCAGGUGCUUGGCCCUGUUUGAAGUUGCAAAUGGAUCCCAUCUGAGAUGGGAAACCUCAAGACUUGCCACCCAAAGGCAAAGUUGAUUCUUUAAAGUUUGUCCCUCAUUGAUUGAUGUCAAAGAUGCAGAGGCCAGUGUUGGACCCAGGUGUCCCAGCUCUUGGCUCUUAGCUCUGUCCAACAGGCCUGCCACCAGCACUGCAAUGAGUAAGUAGUUCAUCUUUCCAAGGGGCUUUGGAAAGGAGAAGCCAAAGCGUGCUGUGAGCGGGGCGGCAGUAACCUUGCCAGAACUGGGCUGUUGUUGCAGCUGACAACAGCUGGUGCCUGCUGGAUAUCUCAGUGAGCCCUACACCAGCCUGCCUCUUGCACCUGCUGCCAUUUGUUGCAUUCACAGUGACUUCUGCGACAAGCUCAUAAUGUGCCUCCAUGAAUGCUAAAGCGGUUUUGCUUCACGGCUCUUUGCCACAGCUAGCCAGCGCUGAAACUGCUCUUCUGAUGCUAAAGGCUCGGUGCCAUGCUUGUUGAGAUCUUCCUGCUCUGUAAAGACAUAGACCAGAUCUACAUCCUAGAUCUGUCCUGGGGCUGGGGAACAAAGGUGCUUUGGAGCUGUCUAAAUAGAUACAGGCCCCCGGCCUAAAAUAUUAAAACAGAUUUGUCCUGGAGAA